rnacentral:rRNA from 1 species
AUUGAACGCUAGCGGGAUGCUUUACACAUGCAAGUCGAACGAGAGGCGGACGGGAGAGUAAUAUAUCUGAAUGUGCCCAGUAGCGGGGGAUAACUACCCGAAACAGUGGCUACUACCGCAUAAUAUUGGAGCGGCCGAAAUCGCAUUAGCUAGUUGUUGGGGGAAAGGCUCACCAAGGCAACGAUCCGUAGCUGGUUUGAGAGGACGACCAGCCAAACUGGGACUGAGACACGGCCCAGACUCCUACGGUAGGCAGCAGUGGGGAAUUUUUGACAAUGGGGGAAACCCUGAUCCAGCCAUCCCGCGUGUAUGAGAAGGCCUUCGGGUUGUAAAGUACUUUAGGCAGAGAAGCGGUAUCUGCAGAAUAAGCACCGGCUAACUACGUGCCAGCAGCCGCGGUAAUAC